rnacentral:tRNA from 2 species
GUAGCUCAGCUGGAUAGAGUACCUGGCUACGAACCAGGCGGUCAGAGGUUCGAAUCCUCUC